AUGUCUAAGUACAUGCCGUAUUAAGGCGAAACCGCGAAUGGCUCAUUAAAUCAGUCAUGGUUCCUUGGAUCGUACCUUACUACUUGGAUAACUGUGGCAAUUCUAGAGCUAAUACAUGCAGCAGAGCUCCGACCUUCGGGGACGAGCGCUUUUAUUAGACCAAAACCAAUCGGACCUCGUGUCCGUCUCUUGUGGUGACUCUGUAUAACUUUGGGCUGAUCGCACGGGCCUGUCCCGGCGACGUAUCUUUCAAGUGUCUGCCUUAUCAACUUUCGAUGGUAGGUUAUGCGCCUACCAUGGUCGUAACGGGUAACGGGGAAUCAGGGUUCGAUUCCGGAGAGGGAGCCUGAGAAACGGCUACCACAUCCAAGGAAGGCAGCAGGCGCGCAAAUUACCCACUCCCAGAACGGGGAGGUAGUGACGAAAAAUAACAAUACGGGACUCUUUUGAGACCCCGUAAUUGGAAUGAGUACACUCUAAAUCCUUUAACGAGGAUCCAUUGGAGGGUAAGUCUGGUGCCAGCAACCGCGGUAAUUCCAGCUCCAAUAGCGUAUAUUAAAGUUGUUGCGGUUAAAAAGCUCGUAGUUGGAUCUCAGUUCCAGACGGGUGGUCCGCCUACCGGUGGUUACUGCCUGUUCUGAACAGUCAGCCGGUUUCUCUUGAUGAUCUUCACCGGUUGUCUUGGGUGACCGGCAAGUUUACUUUGAAAAAAUUAGAGUGCUCAAAGCAGGCGUGACGCCUGAAUAAUGGUGCAUGGAAUAAUGGAAUAGGACCUCGGUUCUAUUUUGUUGGUUUUCGGAACACGAGGUAAUGAUUAAGAGGGACAGACGGGGGCAUUCGUAUUGCGACGCU
rnacentral:rRNA from 10 species